AAUAAAUUAAAGUAAAAAAACACAAAAAGGGGAAAAAAAUUUAAAGGACACAUAGUCAUUACGAAAUGUAUCGAGGACAAAACUGGAAAGCAGCAAAUUUUCGUGGGACUGAACUCCUUUCUCAGUAUGCAAACCCAUUGGGUCAGUUUCUCGCCGCCGUUUUUUUACUCCGUGAAGACGACGAUGACGAUGAAGAAGAAGUACAAGAUUUGUUAGAAGAAGUAGUCGAGGCUUGAGUUUCAGGGAAAUAACUAUCAGUCGGAGCAAAAACAGAGAAAAGAAGGUAAUUGUUUUAUUGAAUGAAGCUUGAAUCAAACAACUUUACACUUAGUUGUAUAUAUAUGUACUCUUAGCUAUAACUACAUCUAACUAACUUCUACUAUGGAAGUAACUAACUGGCUAGCUGGCAAUGAGUCGAUUAAUCCUCAACACCCCCUUCAAGCUGGUUAAAUUGGAGAUGGUGAUCGUACCAAGCUUGAACAAGAGAUGUGAAUGUUGUAGAUUGCUCAAACUCUUAGUCAAUAAAUCUGCCAAUUGUUCAGAAGAGGCUAAGUAACAAGUGUUGAUUAAUCCUAAGUUCUUCCUGGAUAAAAUGAUAAUUUAUAACAAUGUGUUUAGUGCGCUCAUGGAACACAGAAUUAGCUACAAUUCGUAUAGUUGCCUUGUUAUCACAGUAAAGAGGGAUAGACAGCUGCACAUCUAGAUUCAACUCUUUAAACAAACCAACUAGCCAUACAAUCUCAGCUACUACAGAUGCUAGGCUUCUGUACUCUGCUUCAACAAAGGUCUUUGAUAUAAUAACUUGCUUCUUUGACUUUAAGGAAAUCAAAAAACCUCCCAGUUUCACAAGAUAUGUUGUGACUGAUCUCCUAGUGUCGGGACAACUAGUCUAAUAGGCAUCACACUACGCUAUCAAUUGUUGUGAGGAUUGGAUGACAUAAAAAUACCUAAACUUGGACAAUGUUUGAUAUAUCUGACCACCCUUAUUUCAGCUUUCAUGGGGGAUGCUUUUGAAUGAUGCAUAAAUUUACUUACACACUGAACAGAAAAGCGGAUGCCUGGCUUUGUACUGUUAAGUAAAAAAGUCUACCAAUAAGUCUCUUGGAGCUGUUAGGAUCUUGUAAAGGUGGAUUCGUAGAUGUAUUCCCAAUGUGUUCAUCAAAAUUAACUGUAGUAAAUUUAGCAUUGAUCUUCAUGGGUGAGUGAACUGGUUUAGCUCCUGAUAGUCCAAGCUCAGGAAUUAGUUCUAAAACAUACUUCCUUUGGUGCAUUACUCUCCUUAUUGAAUUUCGAGCAAACUCAAUACCAAGAAAAAAUCUCAAAUAUCCAAGGUCCUUGAUUAAAAAGUUGGUCUACAAUACUUGUUUCGUUUUCAUAAUUAACUGAAUAUCAUCACCUGUAGCUAACAAAUCAUCAACAUAGACAAGUACCACCACUAUCUUUAAUUUCAAGAAAUAGGCUUUAUAGUGGCGACAAUUAGUGGCGAGUCAAUUUAUUGAUGCAGAAAUGUCAUAUUCAAUAGCGAUAAAUAUUAUUACCGCAAUACACCAUCUUUUAGCUUCGAGUAAUUUUUUUUGCCUGUAAUAGGUGUCACUAUACUGAAAUUUUUAAUUCCCGCGAAACUUAAAAUUUUGGCUCUAUUUUUAUAGUGGCAACAAAUAUAAUGUCGCCACUGAAUAUGAUUAUGUGGCGACCCUAUUACCUCUAACAUUAAUUUAUUUUAUUUUUUAAAACUAUAAUUGUGGGAACAAUCUAGUAGAUAUUAUAUAGGUAAAAUUUUAGAAAAAUUAAAACAAAAAACAGUCGUCUCUUUGCUCAAGCUCAACACUGCCUCUUCUUUACUCUAAGCUCAAACACUAUCUCUUCUUUACUCCAAGCUCAACACCAUUUCCUUUUUGCUCCAAACUAAAUCAAAAUCUCAAAUCUGAAACAAAAUGGGUUAGAUUUGUUGGUUAAAGCGUUGCUCAAAUCUGUUGAUUAAAGCCUAAAAUUUUUUUCUUUGCUCAAACUCGUUCUUUUUUGCUGAAAUAAAAUUCUCUAAAGUUAUUACUCUAUCAGGUAUCUGCUCAAAUUGAUUUGUGGAUAAUAUUAAUUUUUUGGAUUUUCACAUGCAAUUUCUUUAACUCAAAUAUUUUGCAGAAACACGAUAUCUGUUUGCUAAAAAUUCUUAGGUUUUCUCAAAUAGGGUUCUCAAAGUUUGUGCCCCAUAAGGAAUAAAAUUCUCUAAGGUCCAAGGAGGAAAGAAUAAAGUUCAUAAUUUUUGAGGUUAUAGAGCCAAAGGAAAAAUUCAUGUUUCUCCCAAUUUUUAUUUACUAUAUUUUGUCAAAUCUCGGGCUUAAAAGUUUCUCUGACUCUUUUUUCUUUGGGUAAACUGAAAGUUUAUUUUUGACGUUCUAGACUUUUGGUAUUGUUAUUGUGAUUACAUGUUUGUAGUAUAUUGGGUAUGUUAAUAAAUAAUUAAUAUAGUGAAAAGUAUUUUUUUAUGUUAAAAUUACCUGCUUUGUCGCUCGUACUCUUCAAAAUGUCAAUGGGUGCAUGUAUGAUUCUCCAAAAGUAUUGUAUUCUUGGAGAAUCCAACAUUGGUGCCGCAACGAAAGUAAAAAGUCUGUGCAGCAUAGAUUAUCUGAGGCUUCUGUAUUAUUGUAGAAGAGGUAAUAAACAUGUCUUUAAUUAUUGUACACUUGAAAUAUUUUCUGCAUUAUUGGAGAGAAGAGACUACAAAGAUGUCUAAUUAUUUUGUACAUUCGUUUUUACCGAAGAGUGACUUGGCAGAAAGUCUUAGGGAAGAAACCCAUGUUUACUUAAAAUGUUUAUUACUUGUUUUUCCUAAGUGUUUUAUGCGAAGGUUGUACUAAAUUAGCUAUUUGGUGUUUUUAAGAUACUUUGAUUUGAAUGAUUGUGAAAUUUGUUACAGAAUGAGUAUAGCUAAUGGCUAGCUAUUUGGUGUUUGUUUAAAGACUUUAAUUUGGAUGGUUGUAGAAUUAGUUACAGAAUGAGUAUAGCUAAUGAUUUUUUUUUAAUCAUAGAGGUAUAUAUCAUACAUAUUUUAGGUAUGCAGACAAAAGAAUGUCAGUAUCAAAGUCUUUCUCAAACUUUUUUUUGUAAUUAAAUAGUCAAAAUCAACAAAAGAGAGUUUAACAAGU